UGCACAAGAUGACAUACAGUGGUACCUCUGGUUGCAAACGGGAUCUGUUCCGGAGUCCCGUUUGCAACCUGAAAGGAAUGCAACCACGUC